AAUUUAGGUGAAUAUUGAAAUGGAUUAAUGUGUUUGUUUUGGCACAAGUUUAGCGAUCAGCUAUUAGCAGAAGUAAAACCAUUUUUGGUACAAACACUGACCAGAGUGGAUAUGGAGUCCGAUGGUCGAGUCCUCCACGCGCCCACAAUGUUCUCAUUUUUGGCUCGGCUCGACUCGAUUAAACUUGGCUCGGCUCGAAACUUGCCCGGCUCGACUCGAAUUACAGCCCUACCCACAGGCAUGCAUGUUGGCUUACUAGAAGGAGGAUGCGUUGUAUGUAAUAGUAUUAGUAUCACUAGAUUCCGUGAACAAAGAUCACACAGGUGAUGAUAAAUGCACAACUAAUGUUCGUGGGAGCAUAUCUUUACAUGAUUCAUUACCUGUAUCUGCAAGAAAUGCUUAUGAUCUAAUAGAACACAUGAAAUAUAGGGAAGGCGGGAAAGGUCAGUUUGGAGGCUGCCGACAAGUUGACAACAUCAUAAAGUGGUUUUUGAGUUGAGCAGGGAAAAAUGCUCACUAGCGGGGAUGCAAGUACAUCUUUGUGGUCAUUUAAAAGAGACUGUACUAGACAAGUUAAUUAGGCAUUUUGGUUCAUGUGGAGGUAAGAUUCUUGUACAGCAACCUGAAUUGAGCCCAGCUGUAUAUUCUGGUAAUGAUGAAUUUAAGCAAUUAGAUUUAUGACUUACAUACCUCCGCUGAGACUCGGAAACCCAACCUCUUGUUAACCAGAGUAUCAACAGCCUGGGCAUUAGGGGUGAACAUGGGUUGGGUUGGGCGGGUUUUUGGAAAAAAACGACCCAACCCAAUUAGUUCGGGUUAAUAAAAACUUAACCCGUUAACUGAAAAAAAUUUAUCUAACCCAACCCUACCCAACCCAAUUAAUUCGGGUUGGGUCGGAUUGGUUUGGGUUAAACUUGCGAAAAUCAUAAUAAAUAAAAAUUUAGUCAUUCAUCGCGACAGGAAAAAAAAAUACUCACUCGCACACCGGUAGCUAGUAACAGUCGGCAUACAUAUUUAUAGUUACUCAGUUUCUAUGAAUCAUUCACCAAUAUUAGUCGAUGCGUAAGUUUUUAAUCGAAGAGGGAAGCCUAUUACAUUGGUGAAACAUUUGAACAAUGGUGAAAUAAUAGGAAAUUGUUGUAUACACACUCAGUUAUGAACUCUUAUUUAUAAGGUGUAUACCAGUUCAUUAACAAAUUAUUAACCAUGUUCAAAUUCCAAAAGUCAUCAUUUACAUUUUAUAGUUAUCGAGAUACUUAAAAUUAUUCAUAUUGCUGUUGUAAAUGUAUAGACACACCCUAGAUAAAUCAAAUUUAGGUUAAAGAUUGAUUGAGAUAAACUAAAAAAUAUAAAAUAGAUAUGUAAAUAUUAUAUAUAUGUGUGUGUAUAUAUAUAUAUAUAUAUAGGCUCAUGAUCAAAUAGAAACCACUCUUAAAAUAAAAACUAGAAACCAGUUUCCCUACCACUAUUUAUAACUACGGGUAUCACUAAUUUAUACUGCACUAAUCACUGUUUUUAUACAGUAUGUAAACAGCGAUUUUUAUUAUCAAAAUUGAGAAAAUCUACUUAUCUAAAUUAUUGAUAAUCGAUUGUAGAUGAUUAAUUUCAUCCGUAUGAAAGUUCUUGGUGGUAGGAGCUGCAAGAGAAGUUGUAUGAUGAUGGUAAGUAGUCGUUAGUUUUGUAAGUUAUGAUGGAAAGUUUAUGUGACUAUUGGUGAUGAUAGACAAUGGUGGCAAGUCAUAGAAACGUUUUGUAAUGGUGGUAAGAGGUCCAUUAUUACGAUUUGGGUGAAAAUGAUGGUCAUAUACGUUGCAUAUAUGUGUAUAUAUAUAUUUAUAUUCGCGAGAUAUGCUAUAUAUAAAUUAGUGAUAUGUUAUGUACAAAUUAGUGAUUUCUGUAGUUAAAAAUAGUGAUAAAAAACUGUCCAGAAACUGGUUUUUAGUUUUUAGGCUAAUUUGGUUUCUAUUGGAGUAGUACUCUAUAUAUAUAUAUAUAUAUAUAUAU